rnacentral:lncRNA from 1 species
UUCGGUCAGAGGGUCGUGGGAAAACAUGCAGUCGUCACCAUUGAUGCAGUUCCCAGUGGUGUGGUACAGCUUACACGGGAAAUCACGUUCAUGGCAAAUUAAGGUAAAGGAUAUCGUGCAUAUAAGGGCAGUUCUCAGCUCUGGCGCAAAAUCCAGUGAUGUAAAACUUGCACAGUUCUCGCUUCUUUGGGAGUUCGAUGUCAUGGCUAAA